rnacentral:rRNA from 1 species
CCUACGGGUGGCAGCAGUAGGGAAUAUUGCUCAAUGGGGGAAACCCUGAAGCAGCAACGCCGCGUGGAGGAUGAAGGUUUUCGGAUUGUAAACUCCUUUUGUUAGAGAAGAUAAUGACGGUAUCUAACGAAUAAGCACCGGCUAACUCCGUGCCAGCAGCCGCGGUAAUACGGAGGGUGCAAGCGUUACUCGGAAUCACUGGGCGGAAAGAGCGCGUAGGCGGGAUAGCAAGUCAGAUGUGAAAUCCUAUGGCUUAACCAUAGAACUGCAUUUGAAACUGUUAUUCUAUAGUAUGGGAGAGGUAGUUGGAAUUCUUGGUGUAGGGGUAAAAUCCGUAGAGAUCAAGAGGAAUACUCAUUGCGAAGGCGACCUGCUAGAACAUAACUGACGCUGAUGCGCGAAAGCGUGGGGAGCAAACAGGAUUAGAUACCCUAGUAGUC